rnacentral:rRNA from 1 species
UACGGAGGGUGCGAGCGUUAAUCGGAAUUACUGGGCGUAAAGCGCACGUAGGCGGGCGUGUAAGUCGGAUGUGAAAGCCCUGGGCUUAACCUGGGAACUGCACCCGAUACUGCAUGGCUAGAGUAUGGGAGAGGGAAGCGGAAUUUCCGGUGUAGCGGUGAAAUGCGUAGAUAUCGGAAGGAACACCAAUGGCGAAGGCAGCUUCCUGGCCCAAUACUGACGCUCAGGUGCAAAAGCGUGGGGAUCAAACAGG